ACUGAAAGCUGAGACUGCACCAAAAAGAGAGGAAUAGGGAGACCCUUCCUCAUCCCUUCCAAUUGAUAGACUAGCCUCUUUGGACACAGCUGUCAUUCCAGUUUAUGCCCCUCCUUGCCAGAGAGCAGGGAUCUACCUCAAACAAACCCAGCUUCAAGAGGUGUUUUCGGUGAGGACAUCAGGACCUGGAAAGCCGACAGACAACGUGGAAGCUGGAAGAGGGAAGAAAACAUUUCUCUCUGUGAUUGUGCUUGGAAUAUGCUACAGAAAUGUCAGAGAUAAAAAAGAAAACCACUAGAGUUUCUCUGACCAUCAGUUCCCUGGUUAACGAAACCUCCAACAUCAGAUCAAGUUAUUCUACCUUAGUUCAACCAUUGUGUAUUGACCCC